rnacentral:lncRNA from 1 species
AACUUCUGGUCGAUAAAUCAAGAAGAAAGGAAAAUUCAAGACUAGUUUCAUAAUAAGGAUUCACCACCAACGAUAAAUUGUUCUAGUGGCUAAAACUCUUUGAUUAUCUAAUAUGAAAAGUACCUUUCGGCGGAUGGAGAGGAGAGGUAAGCCGGAAGCGUCCAUAAGGACGAUGUUGUCUUUAGGAGAGUUCAUGUAGUUGUCAACCCUAAAGACAAGGUUUCCAUUAGAGUUGUAAACUGUGAAUCCAUCGCAGUUGAAGAGAAGAGACUUCCUCCACACUGUUAAAACCACGGCUGCUUUACUAUCACACAAGCUUUCCUCGUAAGUGUUUGGGAACUUUGGGUGAACUUUUGUCAUUUUUCUUCUUGAUUCUCUGUGUUUGUCUUUUCUUUGUGUGUUUGAUGAUUCUUGUUGGAGAAGAUGAGUUGAUAUUUUGUUUGAUGAAGGGGGUUGCGUGUUUAUAUAUACAAAUGUAGAAAGAGAAUAUGGUUGCGCAAAUGAAAAGAAUGGUCUCAUCUUCUUGUAUCCCACUAGAGGUAUCAUUUUCAGUCUAUUACUAUAAGAUAUCCAGUCUUUUUAAUUUGUAUAUUAAAUUAAUGUAUGCCUAUAUAUAAUCGAAUAUUAUAGUACCGGUUUUAAUUCACCUAAACUCCAACCAAAUAUUAUAUAGGAACAUUAUAUUUUUAUUCCAGAUCUGGCCAAUACUGGCCCUACAGAAUAGCUUAUGGUCUCAUAUUUAAUAUAAAUCUAACGCAAGUUAGGAAAAAAUCACUCACUAAGACCAUCUUUAAUGGGUUACUCUAAUUUUUACUCUAUGAACCAAAAAAAACAAAUUACUCUAUAUUUAGAGUAAACCUAUUUUUUACUCUAUUAUAGAGUAAAAAUAGAGUAUCAUUGAAACAUUUUUUACUUUAAACUUUAUUUUAGAAUGAAAAAUAGAGUGGGAUUGGAGAUGCUCUAAUCCUAAAUCAAAUAGUUGAGAAAUUAACAUGAGUAGUACAGUACACGACUAAUCAAAUACUGUUUGGCUAUUGUAAGUUUUAAAUAUUAUCGUUGUUUUAUUAACAUGCUAUUUUAUAAAUUUUAUUCUCUCAACUAUAUACUGAAGUUCAAGUUUCAAAAAAGAAAAAACUAUAUACUGGUGUAUACUUUUAGACUAAAAAUAAUAUUUUAUUAUUUUCCUAACAUUUUUCUAUUAUAAAUAGAGUUUUUUUUUUAAUAAAUAGAGAAUAUUAUUGUCUCAUGUAUAGAAAGAAAAAAAGAAUCGACAGCAAGGAAGACCUGCGGGCCAUAAUCUAUUGUCUUUCCCGUGCAUCUUUUUAUAAUGGAAAAAAAAAAGAAUCUGUAGAAAUAUUCUUCAUUUUCUUAUAUAUUUCUGCAGAAUUAGCGCUUUAUUCUAAGCCAGUUACAAAAAAAAAAAAAAAAAAAUUAUUGCUUUAUUCUCCAAAAUUGAACCCAAAGUAAUAUAUGAUAUACCCUAGUAGUCUAUAUCAUAAACUGAUAAUCAAUAUGUAUUCUUGAUCCAAAACCUAAUAUAGUUAAUUAUUGGCUCUUUAAAACCAAUUCUGUAUCAGAUAUCAGAUAAUGUAGUUUUAUAAAAUCAAGCUUUUGAGUUAUUACCAUGAACAUUUUGAGCCAAGGAAAACCAUAAUCUAGUGGAGCUGUGGAGGAUAAGAAUUGGUGGAAAGCAAAGUUCAGAUAUUGUAUAUAAAUUCAUAAAAACCAAUUCAAAGUUUCAAACAUGAUCAUGAAGUACACCAAAUUUUAGCAAAAGAAAAAAACAUGGUCAUGAAGUAAAAUGAGUUGAUAAAUCGAGUUUUGAACCAAUCCUUGGUUUUAGUAUGAUAUGAAUAUAUGCUGAAAGGAGGACCACUGUACCAUAUCAUUGAUCAUUAUAAAUAAUUAAGCCUAAGAAGAAAGUAUGUGGCUGAGAAACGAUUAGCGGUGGGAAAAGAAAAGUAAAACCAUUUCUAACAAAAUUCCACUAAAUUUUUUCUGAUUAAAACUUUGAUACUAUUAAAAUAUCCUUGUUAUAUUUUUCCACGUCCGUUGGUAAUAAUGAAUGUUCCACUUACGUUGACCUCUCAUAUUUAUAUUCCUUUUCGUUAUCUAUCGUUUGUUUACAGAAAGUGAUUACGACCUUUGAGAGACGCGUCCCACUUUCACCAAAAAAAAAAUUGGACUGAAAAUUACGUGCUGCACUUUGAAGAAUAUGAUCUCUUGCUCUCUCUUUAUUGCACUGCAGAUGUAGUACAGCCUAAUUGUUCUUCCUACAAAAUCAGAUUCCUCACUCUAUAUAGUCUAUACCAUCUCAUUAUUCUCUCAUCGUAGCUAGCUUUACCGUGUGUUUACAUGCUCAUUUUGCAUUUUACCUCGUACGUCAUCAUAAAAUGGGUAUUACGUGAAUGUCGCUUUUUAAAGUAAAUCCUUAGCUAAACUUUCCGUUUCAGUGGAUGAAUCCAUUUACCUAUGCACUGCAAAUGACUGGUAUAUUUUUAGAGUUGUUAAGGUACUUAUAAGAUCCGCUUAAGCUAGAUGGAACUCAACAUAAUAUAUCAUAGCUCAGAGUUCGAUUUUCUUUAUAGUUUUGUCAGCCUGUUCUUAGAAUCUCCAAUAAAAUACUAAAUAUAAAUAAAUAUCUAACAUGAGACCACCAAAAAUAAAACUACAACACACCUAUGCGACUUUCAUACCAACAAAGGGAUCAGUUCGCAAAAUGAACAUUUUCCUUCAGGAAGGUUCAAGAAUCAAAACCUUAAACAUAAUCUUUAAAUAAAAACUGCAAUCCAAAUAUUAGAGACAAAAUCUUCCACUCAGAAAUUAAAAAUAAAUAAAUUAAUUUAGUAUAUAAAAUAUACGAAUCAAUCCAUUGUUCACCAAUUAUUUUUAGAUUGUAAGCUCAUCUAAUUUAUUGCAAUAAAUCGUAUGAUAUUGAUGGUCUAAAUUUUUUUAAAAAAUCAAGUAGAGUUUUUUUUAAGGAAAUUUGACCAAUAACCAACAAAAAAAAAUUAUAUUUCACUAACCAACCAUUUCCUUCCCUCUCUCCUUCUUUUUCUUCCUAUCUCUCUCUACCCUCUUACUUUCAAAACUAAUAUUUUCUUCCAAUAUAGUUAUUCAACAAAUUAACCCUUUUUUUUUGCCGUGGCUUUGUGAAGUAGUCGUGUGUCUUUAUAAUUAGUAGGAUGGCCAUCUUACUGAAGAAUGGUCAUUUAGUAUAGACAACGUGGUAGAAUGACUAAUAAUUUGAAUAAAUUAGGUGAUGACCAUUUAGUAUACAACUGUAAUGAAAAAGACCAUUUAGUUGAACAAUAUAAAUACAUAUCUAUCAUCAUCAUCAUCCUCAGCCUUAACCUAUAUUUCUCUCUUUUUCUUUCCCAUGCAUUCGGAAACACGUAAAUCCCCUCAUAAUAUAUAUAUAUAUAUAUUAUUUGGGCUUGUAUCUCCUCACUAAAUUUGAUUCAGUCUCAAAAUCGUAUGAAGUAAAGAUAUAUGCAAGUGUUAAUAUCAACAAAAAUGACAUUCCAUGAUUCAAACUGUGUUUUUUUGGUGGUAUAAUGGCAGUGUAAAUCACUUAUUCACUUAGUGAGUAAUUUAACUUCGUUAUUAAAAAUGAUUUCAACUCAAAAUGAUAUCAUUCUUUUUUUUUGUGAGCUGCCUAUAUAUUAAAACCAAGUUCUGACCGGAUCACAGAAGUUAUUCCAAAGAACAAUUUCAACCGACCAUGUCUGGCUUUACAUGGGAAAAUAAAACGCUCAAACAUAUAUAAUGAUAGUAUUAUUCAUUACAAAGCUUUGUUAUCCACGGAGAAAACUAACAAUUUGUACUAUUUUUUGAUGGCUCCAUUAACUUUACUAGUGUUGCACAUUAUCUUGAAAUUAUAUAUGUGAUUAAGUGAAUGCUUAGUAGGAAAAUUAUAUAAUUAGUUUUGCAUCACGAAGAUAAUGAUUUUUAUAACUUUCUCAACUGUGUAAAGUGUAAACCGCUGCACUGAGAAAUAGAUAAAAAUUCUCAUCACUUUCAAUUAAGUCAAAAGCAAGAAAAAAAACUGACACAUGACACAAUGGGAAAAUAACAGGAGGAAAAGAAUGGCACACCUCUAUGCCAAAAAUCAUAUACAACAUCAAAGUUCCUUCACAUACUCUUUUAUAUUAAUCAAAGCUGAUUUUAAAUCAUCUUGAUCACGUCUCUUAGAAAUCAAUUUGCUAUCAAUUUUAAAACCCGCUUCUGCUUGCUCUCUUCCCUUCAGCAUUUCUCACUGCAAUGCAUUCGAGUUUAUGUACCCCCCAAAAAUGAGAUGUCUGCUCAACCACCAACUCUAAUUCUUUUCUCUGCGUCCGUGACCUGCUUCUAAAGCAUUGGCCUCGUGUAGAUUUUUUUACUUUCUCAUCAAGGGUUCACGUUACAGUCUCUCAAGAACCGAUCUUCUCGAUUCAGAUGGUUUCUCCAAUAGCUGAAAUGUGGUUCUUCCUACAAAAUCAGAUUCCUCACUCUAUAUAGUCUAUACCAUCUCAAUAUUUUCUCAUCGUCCCAGCUCUAGUCACGGCUUCAUGUUCCCAUUGUAGUGAAAUGUGGCUGCUUUCAUAAACCAGAAGCUUCUGGACUGUAGCAGAAGCUGAAGAACACCAUGAACUCUAGAAUGAUUAAUCAUCUCUUUUCUCUCAAGUCAUAUUUCUCUACUCAGACACAUAUUUCAUUGUCGGAUAUUGUUUACUCUCUAUUUCUCACAUGUGCAACUGCAAAGUGCUUUUUUUUUUUUUUGGCUAAAAAACUGCAAAGUGCUUAUUACCCUCCUCGUUGAAGUAUCUUUACAUGUUGUAUACGGAUUCAUCUCUUAUAAGCUGCCUAUGGAUCCUCAUAACAGAGGUCCAAGUCUUCAUGUCUGUUCCUAGAUAGUUUAAAUUUGUUAGCAGUUAACUUAAUUAUAAAUCAUUACUUUAAGCGCAUAACCGUAAUUAUAUAUAUAACAAAACCAGUGUAGAAACUUAUCACGUGCAUAAAACGUUUGUCAUAAAGAAGUAGCAACUUAUCUCUCUGUUUUUUUCUUGAUAACUCAACAAUCAAACUCAUGAUCAUCAGUCAUCACUUUUGUCACGUGCAAAAAUAACAAGUUAUCAUGCAGUGUUCAAAAUGUUCUUAUAGCAACGGUUUAUGUUGAUUUAGUCUCACCGAUUUGGUCGGUUGAACCGUUCUAAAUAGCUUUAUGAUUUGUUAGAAAAGAGAACUUUCAUAACCAACAGUUGUUAAAUAUACUUAUCACCCUCAACCACGCCUCCUUUUUGUGAACCAUCCACACAAAAUACACCGUUAAUCGACUUCAUUUAUGUAUAGUAUCAAGGCUAAAAUCAAAAACUGAAAACAAAAGCUGUUUCUGUUCAUGUGUAACCUAUAUAAGAACACACAUGCAUAAACUACAUAACAAAAAGGGAACUAAUAUAUACUUACAAAAGCUUGAAAAAUCAAUAAGAUCUAAACAUUUGGUCCAGAAUGAUGGUCAAUGCCAUGGCCACGCGAGGCUCCAUAUCCGAUUCAACUAUAAGUUUAAACACAUCUUUGCCAAAGGAACCUCCUCCAACCAUUGCAUCUUUCCUCUUGAUCUCUGCCGUUUUCUUCUUGUUCCUCACGUCUACUAUUUUGCAGCUUUUCUGACCAUAUGAUCCUUCAACCUCGUAUAGUAUUGUCUUCUUCACACUAACCCACGCCAAGCUCCUCUUGUUUGUUAGUAUGCUAACGUUUUUCUUUGCUGUAAAUAUUGGGUCUCUUUGUGUUUCUCCAUCGUAUACCGCCCAGCAAUCUCCCAUGCUCAACUUCUGGUCGAUAAAUCAAGAAGAAAGGAAAAUUCAAGACUAGUUUCAUAAUAAGGAUUCACCACCAACGAUAAAUUGUUCUAGUGGCUAAAACUCUUUGAUUAUCUAAUAUGAAAAGUACCUUUCGGCGGAUGGAGAGGAGAGGUAAGCCGGAAGCGUCCAUAAGGACGAUGUUGUCUUUAGGAGAGUUCAUGUAGUUGUCAACCCUAAAGACAAGGUUUCCAUUAGAGUUGUAAACUGUGAAUCCAUCGCAGUUGAAGAGAAGAGACUUCCUCCACACUGUUAAAACCACGGCUGCUUUACUAUCACACAAGCUUUCCUCGUAAGUGUUUGGGAACUUUGGGUGAACUUUUGUCAUUUUCUUU